CUUUUCCUGUGCCACAGCAACCAAGAAGGUCACAUGUUCCAGAAGCUGCAGCUAUAAGGUGGGUGGGGGGACCUAAGUGGGCCUGGGCUCUUGAGUGACUAUGUGGAGCAGAGCUGCACUGACUCUUUCUUAUCCAUGGGUAGCACAAGCGAAAAAUAAACUUCUGUGGUGCAAAGUCACUGAGAUUCAGGAGUUGUUGCCAAAGCGGAGCCGAGCUCAGUGGUUCCCAGUCUGGUCCCAGGCACCACGUAAGAUGUUCCUUUGCUCUUCCUUCAUCUUCCACCAUGAUUGUGAGGCCUCCCCAGCCAUGCUGAACUGUGGGUAACCACCACAGGCCCACAGGCUAAAAUUGAGCUGGAGUAAGUGGCAACAGAGAGUAUUUAUUGUCCCCUAAGAGCCCUGGCCCUUGUAGGACAUGUGAAUGCCAGUGCUCAUGGAGAAAGGUGGAGGAAGAGAGCCAGAGUGCAGUUCACCUCUGGGAGAGCAGACCAGAGUGGCUUCCGUGGGCACAUGCUGGAUUGAAGUGAGAAGACGUGACUACUAAAGUUGAGGCCCCAAGUCUCAGCUUCUUCCCCCUCCAAAGCAUGAGUGGAGGAUUCACUUAAGGCCACUUUGGCUGCCACCAGUGCACCAUUGGCAGAAACAUUGGCAGAGUCCAGCUGGCAAGAGGGCCUCGUCAUCCCUGCAAGACAUAGCAGAGCAAGGGAAAGUUUUGGCUGAUACUAAAGUGGCUAGCACCUCUUUGGAGAUCUUUGGAAAACUCCAGUGAGUUGGAAAAGACCAGGACAUGGAAUCUGUAGAAUAACGCUGGAUGACAUCUGGUUGGAUGAAAAAUGGGGACAGUCUGACCCUAAGCAGCUUGCCAGAAGCUAGGAACAGCUGCUUCUCAAGGGGGAAGUGUCAUCAUCGCAUCUCCUGAGUGGCCCAUUUUCUGCUCUAUAGGAGGUAAAUAAACAUAACACCACCUGAAAAUUGGCCUUUUGAAAAAAAGACUUUUUUUUGAAAAACCAUCACGGAGGUUCUAACGUUGAAAACUGGAAGCCCCUGGAGCCAGAGUCAUGGGAGGAAGUAGGAAUGUGAGGGCCAACGGACUAACUGGUCUCUCUUACUGGGGCCAUCUAUUAACCCCAAAGAGGAUGUCUACUUCAGUUUCUACAGUAACAGCUUUAGGGCUGCCCAGUGGGCAUCUAGUGGGAGAGAAGGUGCAUAUUUGGGGGAAAUUCUUUAAACACCAAGUUGUUGUGUGUCUCCCACAUGGUGUGUGCAGGGGUCUGUGUAUCUGUGCUUCACUAGCAUCCUUCUCUUUCUCUUCCUUUCUCAUCUUUUCACUCUGUCUUUCCACUUCUGUCUCCUCUGGUCUCUGUCUCACUCUCUACUUUGUCUGUCUUCUGUCUCAUAGUCUCCCUCUUCACCUAGUUUUCUUUCUCAGGUUUUCAUUCUUCCUCCUCAGCUUGGCUCUCAUUUUCUUAUUGUGCUGGGUUGAAUAGUGUUCCCCCAAAAUUUGUGUCCUACCUGGAGCCUCAGAAUGUGGUUCUAUUUGGAAAUUGGGUCAUUGCAAAUGACCUAUUUAAUUGGUUAUUUAAUUAUUCAAUUGGUUAUUUAAUUAAUGGCCAUCUCAGUUAAGAUGAGGUCAUUCUGGUACAGGUGCACCAUGAAUCCAAUAUGAUGGUAUCCUCAUAAGGAGAGGAGAAGAGACACAAAAACAGACACACCCUGGCAGAUCACUGUGUGACUACGGAAACAAGAGACUGAAGCAAUGUGUCUACAAGCCAAGGAACACCAUGAAUUGCUGGCAAUAACCCAAAACUACAAAGAGUCAAGGAAGGAAUCUUCCCUAGCACCUUCAGAGAGAACAUGACCCUGCUGACAUCUUGAUUUUGGAUCUCUAGCUCCCAGAACAGUGUCAGCUGGCUCAUUUUCUUUGAGGCAAAGUUCAUAUCCACUGGAUUCACACCUCAGUUGCCACAUGGGCUGCUUCUCUGCUCAGAAAUGCCAGGAGUUUUUAAAUAGUUCAUAAAAGGGACCCCCUUUUGACCUGACCCUCCCAGGUAAGUAUGCUGUCUUUGAGGACCACAGAAAGGUUCAAGAAUCUGGGUUUUCAGUCUCCACAUAGCUCUGGGCAAGUCUCUUAACCUCCCUGAAUUCUUUCAAUGGCUUCAUCAAUUAAAAAAAAGGCAACUGCUUUAGUCUUUCCUGCCUCUGGAGAAUGUUGUUAGUGUGAAAAGACCUUCAAAAGUACAACAAAGAAUGCUGUGCACAUUUAUAGUCCUUUAUUAUUCAGACUUAGGAGGCUGGGAUGAAAUAAAUAUUUAUGGAACCCAGAAGGUGACAUGGAAUUUUAUGGAUAUUAUGACGUUGGAUCCUUAAAGCAACCUACCAAAUAAGUGAUUCCCAUUUUAAGUGAGGAGAAAAUUGACUUGAAGCAAAGAAACAUCACUUUCAUAAGAAACAGUGAAGAUUCUAAUUAAACCCAGAUUUCCUGACGUCCAAUUUAGAGAUUACUACAUUACACUGUGACCCUCUCAUUUGUUGAUUUAUUAUUUUUUAUGGCACACUUCCUUCCCAUCUUGAAAUAUUUCUCUGACCCUUCAGAAGAAGCCACAGACUCAAUAGAGUCUGGUCCCCUGUGUAAGGAGAGGUUUAAUUUUCAAGUACAAAUAUUAACAACAGGCCCAUAGAGGAAACAUUUUGGAGGAACAAUCGAUGUUGGCAGACAGGAGCCUAUCAGGAGGUAAAGGAUUUGUAAAAGUGAAGUUUAAGGCAAACCUUUGAAGGGGAGAUGAGAAAUGCUGCCUUCAGAAAGGAGGAAGGGUCAAAUUCAAGGUCCACAGUGGGCUAGAGAGUGUGUGAAUCUCCGCCUGAGCUCUGCAGCGGGGAGAGUUUGAAGAUGUAGAAUUCUGUCUGCAUAGCAUGCAUUAUGUCUUUAUGUGAUAUGUAUGCGUCAGAGAAGAGAAUUUCUUUUCUGUCACAGGCAUCGUCUAAAAAUGCACACACUUGAGAAAUCACCACUCUCUCUCCUUUCUCAUUUCUCCACUUUCUGCACAUCUUCCUACUUGCUGAGCCUUUCCUCUCAUUCCAGAGGGACAGAAGCACCAGCACCUUCUUUAGGAGCUGUUUAUCUGGCAUCCGCCUCUCUGCUGAGAGAGCAGACCCCUCUUCUUCCCUUCUUUAAGCCCCAAUUGUAUCUUCCAUCCUCCCACUCUGAGUGUGAUUAGAGUGAAGAAAAUCUCAUAAAAAGGAAACUCAAAUGUCAGGUAAUUACAGCCCAUAAUUUGUUUAUCUUUCAGAAGCCCAUAUUGGAGGAGCAUUACUCACUCUGAGGAUCCUGGCAUAGGCAGAUGCAUCACUUGUAUUGAAGUAUAUUAUCUGCUGUGAUAUUUAUGAUGAAAUGAGUUUGCCAGCCAUCGUCUAUCAGGUGAUUUGCUCUUGAACAAUUAACAGAGUGAAGGCUGUGUUCCAUCUCCUCACAGUCUCCCGCUGGGCAUCCUUGGGAGCACAGGAGGAGAAAGGCUUUCUUCUUGAUCCUAUUACUGCUGCCCAGCAUCAAGAAGGAUUAAUUAACCCACCAGGUUUUGCUUCAUUACGAGGAAAAAAGAAAAGCCAGUGACAGUGGAAUUCAAACAUUGAACAGGCAAAGGAAUCAGUGCUCAAGCACCUUAUGAACAUUUCGAAGACUUAGCUGGGCGGUGUGGCGCAAUGUAAAGUAGGGUGACUUGGUGCAAGUUACACACCCCUGCAGCCCUGUUUCUUCAUCCUCAGAGUUCACACUUCAAUUCUACAAAUUGAUGGCCUAUUCUGAGCUAAGCCCCGCCCACUCUGAACUAAGCCCCGCCUACUUUGAUUCCCUACUCUGAGCUAAGGAACAGUCUUUCAUCCCCAUGAAAGCUUUCUGUCUAGAAGGAACUAAAGAGCAUAAUUAUACUUAUUUUCCAGUGCUGUUGUUAGAAUUAAUUAAAUGUGGUAUAGCAUGUGAAAGUACUCUGUAACUAAACAUUGUAUAAAUGUUAAUUAUUCUCAUUUUCAUAUUUGAUAUUCAGGCAUUCAAACAAUUAUUGAGCACUUAUUAGGGCAAAGAACUAUACUUGCAGCUAACAGUUACGUGAAAGAAUUCGAAGACAUUGUUUUUGCUGUUUAGGAAGGUCCCACAUGGCAAAGCAAUUAAGACACACACAUGAAAUAAUUAAACAACAAAGUUGGGCCUAAAGAAGUUUCAUCUCACGUGCUAAUCAUGGCUGGCUGGCUAUGGCUAUCUAGAGUAUUAUGCUGAAAAUGAUUCUGAAGCUCUUUCUGGGCUCAAUUGAAAAGGAUGAUCUGGUGGAUUAGCAAUGAAUGCCAUGGGCAUAAGUUGGGCAUGUAGUGGUACGUGGACUAGUUGUUUAUAGUGCCUAAUACAAGGUAGCAAACAUAAUGAUAAAAGUAACUGUUAUUGAAAUUCAGCCAAGAUUGGUAUCAGUGUAGGCUUGUAUGACUGACAAAGAAUGUAGAGGAGCUAAAGAGUAAGCUUGACCUUGAAUUACGAGUAGGACUUCAGUGAAGAUAGGAGGCUAUUUCAGAAUGCAGGGCAUCUGGUAGGGAGUAGUGGAUGGUGGAGAGUAAGGAACUCAGUACUUGAUUCAAAGCCUGGGUCUCCCAGAAGUGAGCUGUGUGGCUUGGGCCACUUUAUCUCCUGAGGUCUCAGAGUUUUCAUGUAUAAAAUUGUAGAACUUGUCUUGAUGGUUUUGAACAUUCUUUCUAAUUCUGCACAACAGUCCAUUUGUGGGUUAGAUGAGCCUUUACCAAACUGUAUUUCAUGGAACAAUGGUCCCAAGAGCUGUUCUGUGAAAAGUAAGUUUCAUCAUCAAAUAAUUUUGAGAAAUUCUGAAUCCUAUAUACGUGUUGAUUCCUAUUUCUUUCCUUCCAUUCUUUCUUGAGUCCACUCUGAUUGGUCCUUAAAGUUGGAGUUUAUUUUUAUCAUUAUUGUUAUUGUCAUGGUAGUAAAGAUGGACAAAGGCAGAUUCCACAAACAUCUCAAAAUAAAAGUCAAUAGGACUUGGUGAUUAAUUGCAUAUAGGCAAUGCAGGAGAGGGUCUAAGCAAAGAUGUCAAGUAUUUCAAACUAGAAAAUGAAUAGAAUAAGCCAGGGAAUUAUUGAUGGACAAAAGAAGUUGAACCAGGUUGGUGGACAUGGAGCAGGGGUGCGGAGGGAGAAUACCAUCCUGCAGGCUAGGUACCUCAUGGGUACAGGAAGAGAUGCAUCUAGGUUACUCACAGCUAUGGAAGAUUAUUGCAAAGGUGUAAGAAAAGGUGAAGGAGAUCAUCUCAGCAGCAGCAGCAACAGCACAACGUUGGGGUCUAUAGAGACCACCUUAGUUUGCCUAAGACUAAGAAAUUUCUCAGGACACGAGCCUUUCAGUUCAAAAACUAGGUAAGUUCUGUACCAAAAAAGUUAGUUGUAUUAUUAGGGGAUCAAUUUUCCUUAUUCUAGAAUGGACAGCUGGAUUCAUAAUCAAAGGACAAUGUGUUGUUGCCAGCAAUUUCUGUUGAGCAUUUUAUGAACAGAGUUUAGAUUAGCCCCUUAACAGAUGGCUGGUGUCUCCUGUGCCUAGCACAUGUAGAAGCAUCUUUAGCCCGUCCAACCCUCUCUGGUCUUCCUGGCUAUGGCUGGGUAACAUUUGGAUCCACCUCUUAAUGGAGUAUGCCAUAUGCAGUGGGAAAAACAGAGAGGACUGCUUUCAUACCAUAUUCGUGUGAUAGAAUGAAUAAUUCUUUCAUGGGUUCCUCCCCGAGUCCAUCCAGUUCAGAGGAAAGAUGAUUAGGACUUUCCUCCAGCUGACUUUAAGGGAGGGUGGGAUGUUUAGGUAGAGGAGUAUUUACAAAAUCAGGGGAAAGAGUUGCAUUUGGGCUUAAAAAAUUCCUGAAUAUUCUUUUUUAAAAGAAAUGCCUGGUCAAAUACCGUAGGGAAUUACUGAGGAAGAACUUGAAAGAGGGAUGGAGAAGGAAGAGGAAAGAUAGAAAAGAAAAGAGACAGUAGGAGAGAAAAAGAGAGGAGAGAGAGAGAGAGAGAGAGAGAGAGGUUUGUCACAACCAGGUUUUCCCACCCCUACCUAGGGCAUUAGAACCUUCCACUAUUGCAGCUAAGAGAAUAGAGCAUGUGAACAGCUUGUACAUUUACUUAAACACCAAUGGUUUCAGCUUCUCAUACUGCACUCUACUCAAAGGUACAGUAGAUUCAGGGACCUGUCACUUAAGACAACUCUUUACCUUCCAACCAACCAAAGUGCAUUUUACAAUGUCAAUGCCAUUUCACAGAGAGGGGCAUUCAUCAGGGGUGUCUGAAGUCCAGGCCAGCCUGAGAAGGAGGUGCCAAGGCUUGGGAGUUGAGGGACCCAGGUCCUAGCUUUCUCUCCACUGGGCUCCAUUGUGUGAUCAUGGGCAACUGGCUAAACAUCUCUGGACUUUGUUCUUCCAACCUUUAAAAGGAAGCAAGGACCCACUCUUUUUGUUGAAAGAAGCUGGAGAGAGUAACUGCUGAGCCCAGGGAGAGGAGGGCAGAUGCAGGGCCAUUGUAGCCUGCUCUCACGAAUAUAAACACUCUAGAGUUUGGUCAACCCCAAAGGCCCUUUCUUCCUUAUUGGUUACUCAGGAUUUCCAAUCACCUGGGGCUCUCAAAAGUCAACAGGGGCCACUCAGCUAACCUCAGGGGUUUGAUAUAACCGGCAGGUGAAAGAGGCCAAAAAGACCUCCCCAGACUUCAGCGAGUUGUCAGCCCUUAAGCCCUUGAGCCUGCAGCAGGGGAUGAAAUAUCCUUUGGUUUUCAAAUCCCAUUGACCCAGGGCUUAUCCACGAAGGCAGGCUGGAACCUGGAGCAUAGGGCGAAGGCAGAUGUGGCAGGUUGGCUCUAGGCAGAAUCACUUGGUAGACCCGUCCUCGGCACCUGAUUCUACAUCUGGAAAAGUGAGUGAUAACUGUUGGAGUAAUAGUCCUCAGGAGUGCCUGUUAAAAGGGAUCAAAGCUUUGUGCUAAAGGGGAUCCUAGGAAGUAUAAGAGAAAUAGCUGAGAGCAGCCAAAAGGUACAGGAUGUGGAAUAGGGGCACGGAGGCAGCGCUGGUAACCAGCCCUGCACACACUCAUUAAGGCCCAACCAUGAGCUGUGACCAGAGAGUUGGGAUAUGCAUUUGGAAGUUGAAGUCCAAGUUUACAUCUUUCAUUGUGAGUCCUCAGUGGACCCAUCUACCUGUUGAUGGUGAACAGGUCCAAGACUGUAAUGAGGUGUAAGUACCAUUAGGUGGCGAUACAUGAAUGCCUUUCCCAUCUGGUUCCAAAAGAAGAGCACUAUGGGUUUGUCUCCCAGCUCAGGCUUAUAAGCAGCACAUCCAUGUUCCCUGCAUCUGUAGAUCAGCUUUAGCACCCACAGUGCCAGCUGCAAGUGGGGGUAGUGUGUGUGCGUUUUGAGCGCGUGCAUGCACAUAUGCCAAUUGUUGUGUAUUUUCACCUCAAUGUCGGUGACCAGCAAAUGAGGCAUCAGUGACACCCUGGCAGCAACUGACUACUUGGGCCACACUCUGAAAAUGGAUUGCCUCUGUUUUCUCUGCUUGAUCUUCACUGGGGGAAAAGAGUUAAAUUCGAUUUCCAGGAGCUCUCCAUGAGAGCCAACUUCAGCACAAGUUCCCAUUUCCAGAGAGGCUGCCGAGUCUCUCAUUUGUAAAGGCCUCCUCCCUUUGCCCUGAGCGGACUAGCCUUCCCCUACUUCUGCCUCUUUGCCUCUGUGUCACAGUUUUGUGGUCGAUGACACCCUCUCCUUAUCCUGCACCUCCUCCUGGUCUUGCCGACAUGGCUCAAUACUUUGUGCCUAAAUACAGGACUUGUACCAGUCUCCUAUGUCCCCGUGGAGGGCCCAGUGACAAAGGAAAAAAACCAGCCUUUCUCUGCUCAUCUGGGUGCAUAGGGCUCACCCUGAGGGAAGCUGGAAGUGGCAGCAAAUUUUUGUUUAUAAAUAAAAACAAAGACAACUUGUCGUUCCAAAGGAAAAUGCCCCCUGGUGAAAGAAACACUUAAAACCACUGAAGAAUUAGUUUCGUUUUGUCCUUGGUGGCCACCCUGUCAGCAGGUUUCCUUGAUCUUAUGUUGGUGACAGAGUCUCAAACUGAAUGCCAAGGGAAGGAUUCCACACAUAUUCCUUGGAUUUGUAGCUGAGGUACAGCCCUGGGCCUGGGGACAUGGAGAAGACCCAGCCUGCAAAACUCAAUCAUGGCUCUGCAGAUUUUACCCAGUUUGGAGAUCUACUAGCUACCACACUCGACACACACACACACACACACACACACACACACACACACUAUGAUGGAUGUCAUUCUUGUCUGCAACAUGCUCUAGUGACUGGGCCCAAGUCAGGCACAGCUUCUUGUGUGAACUGAAACACCAUUCUUUUCUUCCCUGUGUGAAAAAACAGAAUACAAGGGUGAGUGAUCUUAUGAAAACACUACUGAAUCUGUUCCAUUUUACAUAUUCACAAAAUUGAGGCCACUUAAUGUAAUAGAUAAAAGUAAUACAGAGACAACUACAAUAGGAAACAAAAGGUGAGAAAUGACAGAAGAAACAACACUCAGUGAAUACUGGGACUCAAGAGCAGGAGCAAUGGCAGCCACUUUGGAGUAGGAAGGUGAGCACUAGGAAGGGCCCCCCACCCCCUGCAAUAAGCUUUGAUGGACGGAUGGAAUUUUUUUCAAGGUAUUCUUUUUUAAAAAACAUCUUUAUUGAGAUAUACUUCAAAUACUAUAAAAUUCACUCAUUUAAAGCAUACAAUGCAGUGGUUUUUAGUAUAUUCACAGAGGUACACAACCAUUGUCACAAUCUAAGUUUAGAACAUUUUUGUCGCCUCUAACAGAAACAUGCAGUCAUGAGCAGUCAGCCCCAUUCACCCCUCACUCCCCAGCCCUAGGCAACCACUAGUCUACUUUCUGUCUCUAUAGAUGUGCCUAUUCUAGGUAUUUUAUAUUAAUGGAAUUAUAGUUUUUUGUGGCUGUCUUCUUCAACUUAGCAUAAUGUUUUCAAGGUUUGUCCAUGUUGUAAAAGGUGUCGGUACUUCAUUUCUUUUCAUGGCCGAAAAAUAUUCCAUUGUAUAGAUAUUCCCCAUGUUUGUUUAUUCAUUCAUCUAUUAAUGAACAUUUGGGUUGUUUCCACUUUUUGCCUAUUAUGAGAAAUGGUGCAGUUCUUUCAUCUGCAUGUUUUUAUGUGGACAUGUUUUCAUUUCUCUUGGGUGUAUACCUAGGAGUGGAAUUGCUAGGUCAUAUAUUAUCCCUAUGUCUAACUUUUUGAGGAAUUGCCAAACUGUUUUUCAAAGUGGCUGCACCUUACCGCAUUCCCACCAGCAAUAAAUAAGGGUUUCAAUUUAUCAGUGUCCUUGUUAUAGUCUGUCUUUUUGAUGAUAGACAUCCUGGAGGGUGUGAAGUGGUAUCUCGUUGUGGUUUUGAUUUGCAUUUCCCUGAUGACUAAUGAUGUUGAGCAUCUUUUCAUGUGCUUAUUAGCUAUUUGUAUUUUUUUUUUUUGGUGUUGGGGGACAUAUGUCUAUUCAAAUCCUGGGCCCAGGUCAGGCACAGAUGCUUUUUAAUUCGGUUGUCUUUUUAUUUUUGAGUGGAUGGCUGAGUUUUUGAGAGGUGUAGGAGUGUAGGAGCAAAAGCUUAGAUGUGGAAAAGGUAGGCACUUGUAAGGAGUAAGAAGUAAAACAGAUUGGCUUCAGAGUGUAGCAUUUUCAUGAGAGAUGUGACUCUGCAUUUAACAGAAAAGGC
rnacentral:lncRNA from 1 species